UACGUAGGGGGCAAGCGUUGUCCGGAAUCAUUGGGCGUAAAGAGCGUGUAGGCGGCCAGAUAAGUCCGCUGUGAAAACUCGAGGCUCAACUUCGAGCUGUCGGCGGAAACUAUCUGGCUAGAGUCCGGAAGAGGAGAGUGGAAUUCCUGGUGUAGCGGUGAAAUGCGCAGAUAUCAGGAAGAACACCCGUGGCGAAGGCGGUUCUCUGGGACGGUACUGACGCUGAGACGCGAAAGCGUGGGGAGCGAACAGG
rnacentral:rRNA from 1 species